rnacentral:rRNA from 1 species
AAGGGGGAAAGGGAUUGCCUCAGUAGCGGCGAGUGAAGCGGCAAGAGCUCAGAUUUGAAAUCGUGCUUUGCGGCACGAGUUGUAGAUUGCAGGUUGGAGUCUGUGUGGAAGGCGGUGUCCAAGUCCCUUGGAACAGGGCGCCCAGGAGGGUGAGAGCCCCGUGGGAUGCCGGCGGAAGCAGUGAGGCCCUUCUGACGAGUCGAGUUGUUUGGGAAU